GACGAACCGUACAAACGUUAUUCGGAAUCACUGGGCUUAAAGGGUGCGUAGGCGGCACUGUAAGUUGGGUGUGAAAUCCCUCGGCUUAACCGAGGAACUGCGCCCAAAACUACAGUGCUUGAGGGAGAUAGAGGUGAGCGGAACUUAGGGUGGAGCGGUGAAAUGCGUUGAUAUCCUAAGGAACGCCAGGGGCGAAAGCGGCUCACUGGGUCUCUUCUGACGCUGAGGCACGAAAGCUAGGGUAGCGAACGGG
rnacentral:rRNA from 1 species